CAUUUAGUGGGGAAGAAAAAAAUGAGAGAAGUGCUUUCUAAUCCGGCUACUCCACGCACUCGAGAUGUUUUCUUGGGCCUCCUCUACAGAUAUACUUGGGAUCAAAUGGAGUGUGAGGAUCAUUAAGUCACUCUGGAAUGCAGUCUAGCAGCCCCGAGGAGGCGAAGGCUGGCUCAGAACUCCUCUGGACGGCUGCGCACCAACGUGUUACUCAUGUCUCCAGUGCGCCUCCAGCAGCUUGGGUUUCCAGGACUGCUGUGACUGGCGGGCCCCAUUUCUUCUAAGAGGCCUCUACUAUCAGUCGUGCUUCCAUACAGUUUUCAAGAGCCAUCUCAACUCAGCUGGACGUUUCUCAAGGUCCUACAACUGCGUUGUAAGCAUUGUGUUAGAUUGUGGAACCGCAAAGGUUAAUGAUAUGCAAACAUGCUUCCUAAUUUCCUGGAAGAGAAGGAAGGCAAGAACGAAUGCUAACUGAAUGUAUGUGAACAAGUAUAUCAUACUGCACGAGGGGAAAUACAAAGCACCCAGCAGUCAGCCCGCCUUCCUCCUGUCCCACCCAUGAUCACGCAGCCUGGUCCAGCCACCUCCCAAAGCAACAAGCAGGAAGCGCCGGGCUCUCAUCACAGUGAUGGCAUUCGUUAGUAAUAGACUUUGGCAAGAUUAUCCCCCUACUGGAAUCUCAAUUCUUUUUUCUAAAUAAAAGAGCAUCUUUCUCGCAUAUUGAUAUGAUUUAAUUAGAUCAUGUAGUGAUGUGACUGGUUCUAAAGUAAAAAUCUUAUACUUCAUCCUCUUCUAUUUGAGAGGGCUGUUGGGAAACUUGUGAUUCUUGGUACUUCUCCAUAGCAAAAGUGAUUGUACUUUUAAAAUGAAAAAUCUGGAGAGAAAGUUUAAAACACAAUUUGUCUAAUUUGUAAGUUCAUUCCUAAUAAGAGUCUUGCACAA